rnacentral:rRNA from 1 species
UACGGAGGGUGCAAGCGUUAUCCGGAUUCACUGGGUUAAAGGGUGCGUAGGCGGGCAGGUAAGUCAGGGGUGAAAUCUCCGGGCUUAACUCGGAAACUGCCAUUGAUACUAUCUGUCUUGAAUACCGUGGAGGUUAGCGGAAUAUGUCAUGUAGCGGUGAAAUGCUUAGAUAUGACAUAGAACACCAAUUGCGAAGGCAGCUGGCUACACGAAUAUUGACACUGAUGCACGAAAGCGUGGGGAUCAAACAGGA